AGCCUUUAGCUAUUCAAGUAUUAGAGGUAACGCCUGCCCAGUGAACCAUUUUUAACGGCCGCGGUAUCCUAACCGUGCAAAGGUAGCGUAAUCACUUGUCCCUUAAAUAGGGACCAGUAUGAACGGCUAAAUGAGGAUAAACCUGUCUCCUUUGACAAGUCAGUGAAACUGAUCUACCAGUACAAAAGCUGGUAUAAACCCAUAAGACGAGAAGACCCUGUGGAGCUUUAAAUUUUAACCAAGCAACUAACGCAAACCAAGCCAAUGGCUAAAAAUUUUAAGUUGGGGCGACUUCGGAAACAAACCAAACUUCCGAGCAUAAGAUCAACGUCUUACCAAGACCUACAAGUCAAAGCUAAAAUUGACCCAGUACCACUGAUAACCGAACCAAGUUACCCCAGGGAUAACAGCGCAAUCUUCUUCAAGAGUCCCUAUCGACAAGAAGGUUUACGACCUCGAUGUUGGAUCAGGACACCCCAGUGGUGCAGCCGCUAUUAAAGGUUCGUUUGUUCAACGAUUAACAGUCCU
rnacentral:rRNA from 1 species